CCCGUUUUGCCUGGAAAUCCUCGGGUUGAAAGGCAAAGAGAGAGAAAGGAAGCAACAAAUGGCAUAACCAGAUUACAUUUUAAAAAAUAAUUCACAUGCCAGCUAGGACUACUGGGAGUUGCAGUAAACAACACCUGGAAUGCUGCAUGAUUUCCAUCUCCAAUGUAGAAAAGAAUAACAGAGAGGAUGACAGUGAUCUGAAGUGGAGGAACUCUCUGUAGGUCUGUUGUCAUGGACUGAUCACUACCUUGCAGGGUUUAAAUGCACUAGGACUCAAAGCCUCUGCAGGGGUGGGGGGCGAUUAAGAUGAUCUGCCCCAGGAAGCUUAUGGAUCUGGAUGAAUUCCUGAUGGCUCUUGAGGAGUUUCCUGUUGCCUUGGCAGGUGAUCCUGUUGAAGCCCUGGCUGAUCAGGGAAAUAGCCAGGGAAGUGGACACAAUUGCUCCCCAUGAGGUGGAGCCAAACAUUCUCCCUGGUUCACUAGGGAGCUGGUGAUGAUGAAACAAGUGGGACAGAGAUGAGAGCAAUGAUGGCAGAAGACUGAGAGUGAGUCUGACUGAAAGUAGGCUAAGGCUCAUUGGAAGGCCUAUGGCAGGGCAGUGAAUACAGCAAAGAAAUUACACUUCUCUGCCACGAUUGCAUCUGCACAGUUUCAUCCAGCUGAGAUGUUCUGGGUGGUCAGGGGCCUUUUACACUCUGCCCUUCAAGAAGAAAACAAAGAUAAUUCGACAGCUCACUGUGAAGAAUUUGCAAGACACUCGAUUCACUCUGAUUUGGAUGCUGUAGUUGACAGUCCAGUGGAUGUAAUCUUGGCACCUACUUGUCCUGUUUUAUUGGAUAAGUUUCAGUCUGUUCAGCCUGAUGAUGUAGGCAGGAUCCCUGGAGAAGUGAGGGCCACCAUGUACAUACUGGAUCCUUUUUCUUCCUGGGCUCUGAAAACUGCUAGAGGGGGACUGGCUGAGUGGGUAAGGAGAAUGGUGAAUGUUUUACUGCAGAUUUCCAUCCUGCCUAAAGGAGGCUGUGGUGACGCCAUUAAUGAAAAAGACCUCCCUGGAUCUGACCAUCCUGGAUAACUAUCGGCCAGUCUCUAAUAUUCCAUUCUUGGGCAAGGUUGUGGAGCAAGUGGUGGCCUCCCAGCUCCAGGGGUUUCUAAAUGAAACUGAUUAACUAAAUCCAUUUUAAUUUGGUUUCAGAUCUGGCUAUGGGACAUAACCAGAUCUGGUUGUCUUGGUGGUUGGCCUCCAUAGAGAACUGGACAGGGGGAGUGUAUCCCAGUUGGUUCUCCUGGAUUUGCCAGCGGCUUUUGAUACCAUUGACCAGGGUAUCCUUCUGGGCCACCUCUCUGGGAUGGGACGUGGGGGCAUUGUUAUGCAGUGGUUCCAGUCUUUCUUAGAGGGGAGGACUCAGAAGGUGGUGUUGGGAGAAUCCUAUUCAACUGCUUGGCCACUGGCCUGCAGAGCCCUAAAUGGUUCCUUUCUGUCCCCCAUGAUCUUUAACAUCUAUAUGAAACCACUGGGAGAGGUCAU